GGCCACAUCAAGUUGAAACACUAGUUCCCAUGCGAUCACUGAAGUUAAGCAACGUCGAGCCUGCUCAGUACCUAGGUGGGUGACCGCUUUGCUAUACCAGGUGAUGUAUG